AUGGUAUUUGCUGGCCAUAAUGGCGUAAUGGGCUCUGGUGACCUUUCUAGGGAGCGAGAUGAGCUGAAGAAGAAAUGUGAUACCCUAGAGUGGGGAAAUUACAAAGUUGAAAAGGAGUUAACCUUGCUGCGAGUAAAAGUCGAGGAGAGGAACAUUGGAAAAAGGCUUCUAAAGAAGUGGCUGAAGCGUAUAGGGAGUUUGAAGCGGAUCAUAAAGUUCUUUAGCAAACAAAAGAAUGAUCAAAUCAAUGCUUUGAAAGGCCUUAAAGAAGAGGCAGCUGCUGCUCAAUAG